rnacentral:rRNA from 1 species
UACGGGGGGGCAAGCGUUGUUCGGAAUUACUGGGCGUAAAGGGCUCGUAGGUGGCCAAUUAAGUCAGGCGUGAAAUCCCCAGGCUCAACUUGGGAACUGCGUCUGAUACUGGCUGGCUUGAAUUCGGGAGAGGGAUGCAGAAUUCCAGGUGUAGCGGUGAAAUGCGUAGAUAUCUGGAGGAAUACCGGUGGCGAAGGCGGCAUCCUGGACCGAGAUUGACACUGAUGAGCGAAAGCCAGGGGAGCAAACGGG